rnacentral:lncRNA from 1 species
UAUUGAAGAAGAAGCCUCCUUUUGAGAGGACUUCAGAUCAAAUAAACUCAUCCCCCCUCUUUGUAUAAACAGAGAGCUAGAUGAGGAGGGCGAUCCUGAUGAUCCUGGGGAUGAUCUUCCCGUUCCUCUGGUAUAACUUCCCCUUCCUCUGGCCUUGGUUACCCAAUGAGAGUCCAUUCUGCAGACAAAACAUUUUGUUUUAUUUGAAUACCUCAUAAUAUAAAUCAUAGUAAUUACG